AGCCAGACUCCUACGGGAGGCAGCAGUGGGGAAUAUUGCACAAUGGGGGAAACCCUGAUGCAGCGACGCCGCGUGAGUGAAGAAGUAUUUCGGUACGUAAAGCUCUAUCAGCAGGGAAGAAAAAAAGUCCUUUGGACUUUGGACGGUACCUGACCAAGAAGCCCCGGCUAACUACGUGCCAGCAGCCGCGGUAAUACGUAGGGGGCAAGCGUUAUCCGGAUUUACUGGGUGUAAAGGGAGCGUAGACGGCAGCGCAAGUCUGGAGUGAAAGCCCGUGGCUUAACCACGGGACUGCUCUGGAAACUGUGCAGCUAGAGUGCAGGAGAGGCAGGCGGAAUUCCUAGUGUAGCGGUGAAAUGCGUAGAUAUUAGGAGGAACACCGGUGGCGAAGGCGGCCUGCUGGACUGUGACUGACGUUGAGGCCCGAAAGCGUGGGGAGCAAACAGGAUUAGAUACCCGAGUAAU
rnacentral:rRNA from 1 species